GGAGCUGGCGCCCGCUCCUUCCGGGGGAGCCGUCAUUUCUACAUCCGCAUUCGGCAGGGUAACUUCCGGCUUAGGCUCUGCCGGCGCUGCCGAAGCGGCAGCGUGCUCCGCCUGCACGGCCGGAACUGCGGAGUGCUCCGCCGGCGCGGCCUAAGCCGCAUCGGCGCACCCCUGGGAUUUUAAAAGUUCCGACACGGUGCUACACUGCCUCCCGAUCUGACCGCUGGGCUGUCAUUGGAGUAGAUUUGCAGGAUAAUUCACAAGACCUGUCUGGACUGGAUAGGAAGCUCCAAUGAAACGGUACCACUGGACAGUUCUACCUCAGGGGAUGAAAGCCAGCCCCUUCAUCUGCCAGUGAAAUAACCUGCUUCCCACUCAAAUCCAUGAUGAGCCUUAACCCUGCUGUCAUCCUGCUCGCACUGAGCAGCCUGACAGCAGCCUGGAUCGUCCCACAGCCACGCCAGAACAUCUGGGUGACCCUGGCACAAGCACUCCAACAGGAAAACAUAUGUCUAUCUACUGCAGCAGCAAAAAAUCCUAUGUCUACCUGCCUGGUAGGAAUUCCUUUGCAGCAUGAUGAAUUCACACACAGCUUUAGUACACUGACUCCUGAAGCAGGUAAUAAACUACACAGCACUCAUGUAGAAGCAGAGUUAAGAAACCCCGUCGAA